ACUCAAGAGACAAUCCACUGACCUUUACCACUGAGUUCCUGCUCUCACCACCAAUACUGCACUGGCUCCUCUAUUACAUACCUGCUCACACAACAAGGUGUGCUGGAGUCAGAGCAGUUCCCCAGCAGCUGCAACCCACUCCAUAAUCAAGACCUCUACAAAUACUCAGUCCUGCCACUUCCACUCUACCAGAUCGUAAUCUCUGUUCAGUCAGUAUACGGGUCUAGCUAGUUGUUGUUAUUUAAGAUCCUGUAUCCUGCUGUGCCUAUUACCUUGCCUGACGCUGUUUCUACUCUCACUGCAGUUUUGCCUCUCUGACUCUGGUUCCUGUCUCCUGUUCCACAUCUCACCACCCUGCUACCCUGUUCUGGACUCACCACACCACCACUCCCUUGGAUUCCCCUCCGGACCUGUUUACCCUGUCCCAACCCAGCUCACUCCAACCUCAGCCUCCACAUCUGGUUUCCUACAACUCUUCAGAGCUUCCCUGGAUCUG
rnacentral:lncRNA from 1 species